CAAAACUACAGCAUCCUUAGACAAAACCAGAAAGCGUAAAGGAAGAACAUUGAUUGAUUAUUUCUCGGUAAGCUUGAAGAAUUAAAAAAAUAAAACUAUUUUGAAAGAAUGGUAAACAUGUAAUUUACAGGAAUUUUUUUAAUUUUUUUUUUAAUUAUGGCUUAAAAGCUCUUAACAUUAUCUGAUAAACAAUUCAUUCGCCUGUUCCUACGAUGUUCCACUUGUUAGCUCCAUUUCAUGUUGUUGUGCUUUGUUUAUUGCAGUCAAAACAGACAAAACAUACAAACCAUGAAGACCAUAGCCUUUCUGUGGACAUGGGAAAUAGUGUUGGACAACAAGAAGCAGACUUUCCAGCUGAAAAAAAAGAUAUUAAUUAAUGGCAACCCUCAGUCUAAUACUGAGCCUGUUAUUUCUCCUGUAGAUGCCAAUGUUACAGAUACUGCCA
rnacentral:lncRNA from 1 species